CUGCACUCGUAUUGUUGGCUACUCUUAUCUAUGAUAGUGUGGCCUCGAACAUGGGUGCACAAACUAAUAGCUGUUAAGUCAGCAGCGGCCAGACAACCGUAGAGAUGGAUCCACAGGUGAAUGGCAUUUGAUGCUGCUUGCCUACUGAUUCCAUCUUACAUUC
rfam:Punica granatum cultivar Dabenzi scaffold232, whole genome shotgun sequence.